rnacentral:rRNA from 1 species
AUUGAACGCUGGCGGCAUGCUUUACUCAUGCAAGUCGAACGGUAACAGGGUGCUUGCACCGCUGACGAGUGGCGAACGGGUGAGUAAUGCGUCGGAACGUGCCGAGUAGUGGGGGAUAACGCAGCGAAAGUUGUGCUAAUACCGCAUACGUACUGAGGUAGAAAGUGGGGGACCUUCGGGCCUCACGCUAUUCGAGCGGCCGACGUCUGAUUAGCUAGUAGGUGAGGUAAAGGCUCACCUAGGCGACGAUCAGUAGCGGGUCUGAGAGGAUGAUCCGCCACACUGGGACUGAGACACGGCCCAGACUCCUACGGGAGGCAGCAGUGGGGAAUUUUGGACAAUGGGCGAAAGCCUGAUCCAGCCAUGCCGCGUGUCUGAAGAAGGCCUUCGGGUUGUAAAGGACUUUUGUCGGGGAGGAAAUCCCCAGCGUUAAUACCGCUGGGGGAUGACAGUACCUGAAGAAUAAGCACCGGCUAACUACGUGCCAGCAGCAGCCGCGGUAA